AGAGUUUGAUCCUGGCUCAGGAUGAACGCUGGCGGCGUGCCUAAUACAUGCNNNNGAGCGGUAAGGCCUCUUCGGAGGUACACGAGCGGCGGACGCGCUGAGUAACGCGUAGGAAUCUACCCCAAAGUGAGGGAUAAGCACCAGAAAUGGUGUCUAAUACCGCAUGUGCUCUAAGGAGUAAAGCUUUAAGCGCUUUGGGAAGAGCCUGCGUAUGAUUAGCUUGUUGGUGAGGUAAAAGCUCACCAAGGCGACGAUCAUUAGCUGGUCUGAGAGGAUGAUCAGCCAGACUGGGACUGAGAACGGCCCAGACUCCUACGGGAGGCAGCAGUAGGGAAUUUUCCACAAUGGACGAAAGUCUGAUGGAGCAACGCCGCGUGCAGGAUGAAGGCCUUCGGGUCGUAAACUGCUUUUAUAUGUGAAAAUUAUGAUGGUAACAUACGAAUAAGGAUCGGCUAACUCCGUGCCAGCAGCCGCGGUCAUACGGAGGAUCCAAGCGUUAUCCGGAAUUACUGGGCGUAAAGAGUUGCGUAGGUGGUAUAGUAAGCGAAUAGUGAAAGCGUAUGGCUCAACCAUAUAAACAUUACUCGAACUGCUAAGCUAGAAGAUAAGAGAGGUACCUGGAAUUCCUAGUGUAGGAGUGAAAUCCGUAGAUAUUAGGAGGAACACCAAUGGCGUAGGCAGGGUACUGGCUUAUUCUUGACACUAAGGCACGAAAGCGUGGGGAGCAAACGGGAUUAGAUACCCCGGUAGUCCACGCCGUAAACUAUGGAUGCUAGCUGUUGUCGGUAUCGACCCCGACAGUAGCGAAGCUAACGCGUUAAGCAUCCCGCCUGUGAGUACGGUCGCAAGACUAAAACAUAAAGGAAUUGACGGGGACCCGCACAAGCGUGGAGCGUGUUGUUUAAUUCGAAAGUAAGCGA
rnacentral:rRNA from 1 species